GGAGAACCAGUGAUUGAAAAGUGGAAAAAAAAGUUUGCCAAUAUAAAGAACAAAAUGCCUGCUGCCAAUGUACCUGUGACCAGAUCAGGAACAGGCUCAAAGAAUGAGGGAGUGGAAGAAGUCCAUGAAAGAGACAAUGCUCUUUACAAGCUGCAGUGAAAACCAAAAGACUGCCAGUAAAGUUGCAAAACUUGGCAGCAAGAAGCAAAACUGGGCACAAAGAGUUUCUCUUGCAGAAGCUACAAUCCAGGCACUGUGGCAUUCGGCUCUGCAGCCUGAGCACAGCUCCUGCGGACAUGCAUUUUGCCCUGCUUUCAGCACUGUUAGUUCUCAGCUUGCUCCUGAGCCACCAGGAAUACUUGCACAGAGCAAUUUUUGAAAUUGUUAGUAAAGACUGAACAGUAAUUUCUCUACUGGGUGA